GGCACCAUGGCUAAGUUGGCUAAAGCGCCUGUCUAGUAAACAGGAGAUCCUGGGUUCAACUCCCAGUGGUGCCU
rfam:Anolis carolinensis chromosome 3, whole genome shotgun sequence.